rnacentral:misc_RNA from 1 species
UACGUAGGGGGCAAGCGUUGUCCGGAAUUAUUGGGCGUAAAGAGCAAGUAGGCGGUCCUUCAAGUCGGAAGUGAAAUCUCAAGGCUUAACCUUGAAAUCGCUUCCGAUACUGGGGGACUUGAGGCAGGUAGGGAGUGUGGAAUUCCUGGUGUAGCGGUGAAAUGCGCAGAUAUCAGGAGGAACACCAGUGGCGAAGGCGGCACUCUGGGCCUGUACUGACGCUGAGGUGCGAAAGCGUGGGGAGCAAACAGG